AGCCCCGUCGUCUAGCGGUCAAGGAUGCGGGCCUUUGAAGCCUGAGACGGCAGUUCGAGUCUGCCCGGGGCUA
rnacentral:tRNA from 5 species